CAGCCACAGCCUUUGGACUUACGGAACCCCAUCAUCUUUAGAAUGACGGAAAACCUGGAAAUGGAAGGAGUAAGAACGUUUUGAUCAUAGUGAAGAAAUACUAGUCGAACCAAAAAGUAUGGACAUCCCCUUACAUCUGAGUAGAGGCCCAGCAACCAUCAGUGUGUGUUGUCGUAACGCCAUGUUAACUUCACGUAAACAAAAUGUUAUUGUGCUUUGUGCAAAUAUUAAAGAGGUAUCCAAAAUUCAACCCCUUUGAUUGUGCAUCAGAACCAAUCCUUAUACAACUA